rnacentral:lncRNA from 1 species
CUAAAAGAGUCUUUGCUUCCCUAACAGAGGACAACAGCCAGCACUACUAGCCCUCCUCUAACCGCCCUUCUCCAAUGGGCCACUUUCAUUAGUACUGGAGUCCUCCAAGACUACAUAGUCCACCAUCACUUGUCAUCUGCAGGAUCUACAGGCCUUCAGGAAGGGUAGAAAGGGUUUGCAGCAACAUGGCCAGUGAGCCACAGCCUCAUGGUGACCAGAGAGCUCGCCUCCCAGCACUGUUCUCAAUGGCUUCUUCCAAAAGACUGUCAGAUGCAACAAAAAGUAACAUUUACAUCGUCCUCUGGGAAACCAUGCUCCUUCCGUCUUGAAGUUUGGGAGAAACCAUGCCUGAGAGCAUGGUUGAGUAUGCAUGGUCGAGGCUUGGACAAUGAAACUGGUGACCCACCCUACACCUACUGUUAUCUCCGGGAUCAACAUACAAAAGUUGUUCUGAUCAAAAACUUUCCCCCAAUCCAAAGCAGCUACAAAUGAAAGCAGCUGUCCACAGAGGAGGAAGUUCAAAGACAAGUGGGGAGAGAGAAAGGAGGUAGGGGUCACAUGAGGAGAACAAACAAGGACAAGAAGAAGCUUGGCAGCUCUCCUUUGCACAGAAGUCUAAAGCAGAAAACAUAUUUGGGGACAGAUGGACUGACAGCAGCUAUGGACAGAGUGAUGCCUGGAGAGACUUCCAAGUAGCCCAACAACUGACUGUUAGAUUUUGACAAAGACUUAAAAGUGGACAACACUCCCAGAGCAAGAAAGACUUCUAAAUAUUUUCUUCUGAAUUUGUAAUGGUCAUUUUCUUUUGGCUCCUAGCAGUUAAUCUCUCAUGUUUCUGAAUGAAGCUUGAGAGGAAAAUUCUACUGAAAUUUGUGAAUGAAUUUCCUUUGCUUUCAUUACCUAGUGGUUAUCAAGAAAAUGCAGGCAGGGCUUUUUUGAGAUUUGACUUCAAUAACAACUAGGGGUAACUAGCAUCUAUCUUUUAACUACAAGGCUGUUUUAUUGUAUAUCUAGGGCACCUAAAAGUUAUUAUAAAAGUAUUGUAGUUAAAACUGCAACUACUAAAGUAAACUAUUAAAGAUAACUCAUUGGACACUUCAGAAUACAUUUUAAAAAUAGAACCAAAGACAAAUAAUGCUGUCUGGAACUUUUACAACUAUUUUAUACAAAUGAAUUUAAUAU